GGGGCUAUAGCUCAGUUGGAAGAGCGCUUGCAUGGCAUGCAAGAGGUCAAGGGUUCGAGUCCCUUUAGCUCCA
rnacentral:tRNA from 2 species